UACAAGCUGCGUUGUACGUAAUCAUAAUAAAGUUUUAACCUUUAAGCUGUAAUAGGGAGUUUAACCAUUGAAGCUGGAAUGACAAGCCUUUGUCUAUAAGACAUGGAGGACACGCAGAAAAGCUUCUGAAAACACCCACUUUGAGGAGUGGUGGUUUAAAACUUUCUUAUAUUUCUUACGGCAAUGGCGGCUACAUA
rnacentral:other from 1 species